GCUCGCAUGGCUUAGUUGGUAAAGCGCAUGACUAGUAGUAAAAGCAAUCAUGAGAUCCUCGGUUCGAAUCCGAGUGUGAGCA
rnacentral:tRNA from 2 species